GGUGUGUAUAAAGUGGCGAACGGCUGAGUAACACGUGGGCAACCUGCCCCUCUCAUUGGGAUAGCCACGGGAAACCGUGGAUAAUACCGAAUACUUCGAGUCUCCCGCAUGGAAGACUCGAGAAAGCUCCGGCGGAGAGGGAUGGGCCCGCGGCCUGUUAGCUUGUUGGUGGGGUAACGGCCUACCAAGGCAAUGAUGGGUAGCUGGGUUGAGAGACCGACCAGCCAGAUUGGGACUGAGACACGGCCCAGACUCCUACGGGAGGCAGCAGUGGGGAAUCUUGCACAAUGGGCGAAAGCCUGAUGCAGCGACGCCGCGUGCGGGAUGAAGGCCUUCGGGUUGUAAACCGCUUUCAGCAGGGACGAGGCGAAAGUGACGGUACCUGCAGAAGAAGCCCCGGCUAACUACGUGCCAGCAGCCGCGGUAAUACGUAGGGGGCAAGCGUUAUCCGGAUUCAUUGGGCGUAAAGCGCUCGUAGGCGGUCUGUUAGGUCGGGAGUUAAAUCCGGGGGCUCAACCCCCGUUCGCUCCCGAUACCGGCAGACUUGAGUUUGGUAGGGGAAGGUGGAAUUCCUAGUGUAGCGGUGGAAUGCGCAGAUAUUAGGAAGAACACCAGUGGCGAAGGCGGCCUUCUGGGCCAUAACUGACGCUGAGGAGCGAA
rnacentral:rRNA from 1 species